GCCGGUGUAAAUGACGCUGAGGAACCACCUGUUCCCAUACCGAACACAGAAGUUAAGCUCAGCAGUGCCGAAGAUACUUGGUGGG
rnacentral:rRNA from 1 species